rnacentral:rRNA from 1 species
AGAGGUGUGGGGGAGGAAAAAGAGGUGAGAAUGCGAAAAUGAAAAACAAAAGGGGGGGAAAAACCCCCGCACGCCGAAAACCCAAGGGUUCCUGCGCAACGCUAAUCGGCGCAGGGUGAGUCGGCCCCUAAGGCGAGACCGAAAGGUGUAGUCGAUGGGAAACUGGUUAAUAUUCCAGUACUUGCUGUUACUGCGAUGAGGGGACGGAGAAGGCUAAAUCUACCGGGCGUUGGUUGUCCCGGGGAAAGUAUGUAGGCAGAGAGCUUAGGCAAAUCCGGGCUCUUAAUGUCGAGAUACGAGACCAUCGGCCUUUGUGCCGAGAAGUGGUUGAUGCCAUGCUUCCAGGAAAAGCCUCUAAGCUUCAGGUAACAGUGAACCGUACCGUAAACCGACACAGGUGGGUGGGGAGAGAAUCCUAAGGCGCUUGAGAAAACUCUGGUGAAGGAACUAGGCAAAUUGGUACCGUAACUUCGGGAGAAGGUACGCCCCUGCUGGUGAUGAGACUUGCUCUUUAAGCUGGUGGGGGUUGCAGUGACCAGGUGGCUGCGAC